ensembl:lncRNA
UCCACCACUGAAAUUAUUUUUCUUCGAUGUCAUCAGUCUCUCUUAUCUGCUUUACCAUCCAAUCAAUAAAAUCUAACCAAAUCCCAUAUAUUGUGUUCUCAGUGCUGUUUCAGAAGAAAAAUGGGUUUCGAACAGCAUUUUAAUGAUGCAAAAGCUUCAAAAAUAUUUUUCUACAUUUUUGAAAGUGUUUGGAUUCAUCUGGUUUCUGUUCCUCAGGUACAUGGAAGGCUCUUUUCCUCACUUUUCUCAUCUGUGCUCUUCUGGGUUCAGUUGGGUUCAUCCUCUACAAAUACAGAGAAAAACUAACAGGGAAGAAACCCGUCAAAGAAAUUUGUGAGGAGGAAACUAUCGAGAGACUGUCAAAAGAAGGUAUUUGAAGAAGUUUAUCUGUGCAAUACUUUUAUAACGGCAGCUGCUGAAGUGACCCACUAAACGUCAAUUAAACACUCAUGUGCAUGUUGUAGCA